AAAAACAAAAAAAACAAAAGGAUUCUUCGAUGUCGAUUCAGCGGCCACAAGAGAUAGACUGCGACUCGUUCCUCUCAGAUCGGAACAGUUUGUAUGUUGUUUCCCAGACAAAAUAAUCAGAUAUCGGACAUAUCUGAAGCAAUAUCCGAUGAAAAAAUGGAUAAUAAACCUUCUAAGGUGUUAACAAAUUGUGUCCUUAUGUUCGUUGAUGAAGUAAACGUCAUAAGUUUCUUAAUAAGAAGUUCAAAGAAGGCUGGAGAGUAUGUGUCUGCAUAAAAAGAGAGUUUCACGCUAAGCUGGAAAAACAUAAAUCAGAUAAGUAAAAAACAUUGUACAUUUAUUCUGUGUAAUUUUUUUUUGGUUUGAUGUUAAUCACUUACGGUUUAUUUUGUUUUUUUCUUGUAGGAUCUUACAAUAAAUGAAGGAUCAGAGGAAGAAGUAUGUGAAUUUGGUUGAGUCAGUGAAAGAUUCAGGAGGAGAGGAUGAACUUGAUUUGGAUGAGUCAUUGUUUCAGGGGAAAAGUUGGCACAACUCACUGGGAUUGCAGCUCUUCUCAAUUUACCAUUACCAGACCUCGAAGACAUUGCAGCUCUUUUCAGCAACUCACUGGCCCAACUCACUGGGUUUGCAGCUCUUCUCAGCUCAUCUCAGCUCUUCUCAUGUGUCUGCGCUAAAUGAAAGUUAAGAAAGAUGUUGUCAUCUCGGUGAGAAGAUUCAGUGAUUUGGGUGUUGCCAUUGAAAGCUAUACGAUAUUUAUGAUUAGUUGAUCUGAAGGCUCUUCCAGCAGCACUUACACUGAAACGAUCUAUGUUUCUCCAUAAUCCAACACGAAGAUGUUUUCCCCAUUCA